rnacentral:lncRNA from 1 species
GGGAUAUUCUCAGGUGAAAGGAAUUAGUCAGCUGACCCUGAGCUGUGUUGGAAGUUGUGUUUGCUUUGUCUUUGUUGUCUGACGAAUCCUGUAAAAUCCAAGAUGAGAUAACGUGUGUGGCAACAGCCUGAAUGUGAUUGCAGCAGAGUUCAUCAUAUAUAAAAGCAGGUGCAACCAGGUCACAGUCAGACAUUUUCCUCCAUUCUCACUGGAAAGCAUCAACACCCCAAAGAGAAGCCAUGAAGCCAGUGAUCGUGCUGUAUGUUGUGCUGAUGAUGAUUGCACUGGUGUGCAAUGCUUAUGCUGCAUGUGAGAAUGGAUGGUGUACCAAGAGAUGUGGUCGUAAUGAAUAUAGAGACCGCAAUUCAUACUGUGGGGGUGGAAAUAUAUGCUGUGUUGAAAAAGGCAAUUGAAGAACAUCCGUGAAGGAAGACUGUGUGGAUCAACCAACAUGCAUUGUUGUUUUUUUUUCUUCUUCCAUUUAAGUUGACACAAGACAUGGAGUAAUCAUGAUUUGUGUUUAAGCCUGUUUGAUGCCAGUUUGAAUAAAAUUAAAUUUCAUAACUAUGA